CUACCCUGUAGAACCGGGCUUUUG
rnacentral:miRNA from 14 species